UAUUUUUCUUUUUCUUGUGAGGGACACGAGUAUUUAAAUACAUCGUGGAGAAAGCAUUGUUUUAGUUUUACUGAUAUUAGUAUCGCAUUACAAACUACUUUCUAUUUUUUGUUCUUAUUAAAAAUUACGGGGUUGGGGAUUUAGCUCAGCGGUAGAGCGCUUGCCUAUCGAGCGCAAAGCCCUGGGUUCGAUCCCCAGCUCCGAAAAAAAAAAUUACACUGAUUUCUUGACUUAUUUGUACAAGUAGUUUACAUUCUGAAUUUAGUUUCAAGAAGCUAGAGUGCUGUUAAUUUUUGUCUUAAGAACGGGCUGAGAGUGGGACAGGGUUGAGUACCUCUGCUGGUGAGAUCAUCAUUAAGACUCAGCAUACACAAGUUUUAGAAUUUUAGGAUGCAACUAAAUAUUGUGCGCAUUGAUUUCAGCAGCCAAGUCUUCCCUUCAAGCAAAUGUAGAGUGCAGAUUUUCGGACUGGUGUGGCUUGGUGGAGCUCUGUCACAAACACAAAGGGUCCGUGACUGGGAUGGGGGUGGGGACUAAACAUCCAGGCGCCAAAGAAUUCUCUUACGUCCGGAGCCGUGAAUACACAGAACACUAUGAGUGGCUUCCUUUUGCCUUCGUGUGUAUAUUCAUUGUAACAAUGAUGAGAGGGCGGAAAGACAGGUAGGGAAGAUGAUGAGAUCCUCAGAUGGCCGCGAAGGGGCUGGUGCCCACUGAGAGCUCAGUUUCAGUCAGUGUGGCUCGCAGUGGGAAGAGGGACUGCGGCAGCAGGCAGAGGCGGAAGGCUCCAAGUGGGGCCACACUCAACUUUUCCCGUCCAAAGCUGUAACUACGGGUCCCGCUGGACUCGGGCUAGAAGAGGCGGAGUUGCAGCUGACAGGAGCGCGGGACUGUUGACAGCGGGUGGGGGCGCGGCUGGAAUCCAGAGGGCGCUCCCAAGGAGGAGCUGAGAGUGACAGUGGGAGUGGCUUAGGGAGGGGCGGGACCUUAGGAGUCGGGCUCCAAGACAGAAGGGGUGGCGGAAGACCAAGGCAGUUUCCACGGGAGACAGCGACCUCGGUCGCGGGAGGCGGAGUCCAACUUCUGACGACCGCUGGCCGAGCAAUCGCCUGAGGGAGGUGGAGCCUCGCAAGGCCGGAAGGAGGAGCCUCUCAUGAUAGGGCGUGGCUUCUCGUGACAGAGGCGUGGCUCCCUCCUGACAGGGGGCGUGACUCUUCCUGACAGAGGGCGGGGCGGCGCACACCUCCCGCAGCGCAGGGUUCUAGAGGAGCGGCCUGGGUCGCAUCCCAGAGGAGCGGCGAAGUCCUCGAGUGGGGCGCCCAUCUCGCUCCGCCUCGGUUGGCUCCUCCUCGCAGCCCUUGUAGGCUUAGGGACCGGGAGUCUCUCUCGCACCCUAGCCUGGCGUCUUGGAGCUCCUGCCGGGCUGCAGAGCUCCGUGGGCCCCCCGCGCGAGGGCCCUCCGAGUGGUUCCGGGGUUAGGGUUCACAGGUCAGAGUUGACUCCCUGAAAAGUGCAGUCGCUCUGAAAUGCAAGAUGGCGGCGGCGAGGCGCUGAGGCGAGGCGGCCCCUGCAGAAGACUGCUAGCUACUUUGGGACAAUUUGCAAUGAUGGCCUGAGCCAAGUACCUCAUUUGAAGGGAUAACCUUCCGCUUUAAGGAACAUAAUGCUGAAGAAGCUAUGGCAGGCAACGUAUAAAAGAAGGCACUUAAUUGGUGAUUGGAGUUGUGCUUCAUACAUUUCAGCAGUUCAGCAGUGUUUUAUCUGCCAACUAAGCUUUUUACUUGAGUGCACCAUGGAGACGCUACUAAUGAGACUUGUUGAGCACAAAAGUGGACUUGAAGAGCCAGAAGCCACUGUUUUCCAAUGAAGGAUUCCAAACAGUUUUAAGCCUCAGUGCUUUUAAAUCACCAGAGAUUCCCUCCCUGCCCCUAAAAUCAAAAUGGCAAGCAGACGAAAAUCAACAACACCUUGCAUGGUCCUUGCCAGUGAGCAGGAUCCAGAUCUUGAGUUGAUAUCGGAUUUGGAAGAAGGCCCUCCCGUCCUUACACCCGUAGAAAAUGCUAGAGCAGAGAGUGUCUCCAGCGAUGAAGAAGUUCACGAAUCUGUGGAUUCUGACAAUCAGCAAAAUAAGAAAGUGGAAGGGGGCUAUGAAUGUAAAUACUGUACUUUUCAAACUCCAGAUCUAAAUAUGUUUACUUUCCAUGUAGAUUCAGAACAUCCCAAUGUUGUGCUGAAUUCAUCCUAUGUUUGUGUUGAAUGCAAUUUUCUUACCAAAAGGUAUGAUGCACUUUCUGAGCAUAAUCUGAAAUACCACCCAGGAGAAGAAAAUUUCAAACUGACUAUGGUGAAGCGGAAUAACCAGACAAUCUUUGAACAGACAAUAAAUGAUCUGACUUUUGAUGGCAGUUUUGUUAAAGAGGAGAAUACAGAACAAGGAGAAUCCAUAGAUGUUUCUUCUUCGGGAAUCUCCAUUAGUAAAACUCCCAUUAUGAAAAUGAUGAAAAAUAAGGUAGAAAACAAACGGAUUACAGUUCACCAUAACUCAGCUGAGGGCACUUCUGAAGAGAAAGAGAAUGGAGUAAAAGCAAGCCGGGAAGAAAAUGCAGAAAAUACGAGUUCUUCAGCUUCAGAAUCUAACACAAGUACUUCCACUGUCAACCGAGUGCAUCCCAGUCCUGCAGGCACAGUGGUGACCCCCACAGCUGUUCUUCCUGGGCUAGCACAGGUGAUAACUGCAGUCUCCGCUCAACAGAACUCAAACUUGGUCCCUAAGGUCUUAAUCCCUGUUAAUAGCAUUCCAACCUACAAUGCUGCAUUGGAUAACAAUCCUCUUCUACUUAACACCUACAACAAAUUCCCUUAUCCUACAAUGUCAGAAAUUACAGUUCUUUCUGCUCAAGCAAAAUAUACAGAGGAACAGAUCAAGAUCUGGUUUUCAGCCCAACGUUUAAAGCAUGGGGUUAGUUGGACUCCUGAAGAAGUAGAGGAGGCAAGAAGAAAACAAUUCAAUGGAACAGUGCAUACUGUACCUCAGACCAUAACUGUUAUUCCUACACACAUUUCCACAGGAAGUAAUGGGUUACCAUCUAUUUUACAAACAUGCCAAAUAGUUGGUCAGCCAGGUCUGGUCCUUACUCAAGUAGCUGGAGCAAACACCUUGCCAGUAACGGCUCCCAUUGCUCUGACAGUGGCAGGGGUUCCAAAUCAAACAAAUGUACAAAAGAGUCAAGUGCCUGCUGCUCAGCCUGCUGCAGAAACAAAGCCAGCCACAGCAGCAGUUCCAUCAUCGCCAAGUGUCAGGCCUGAAGCUGCACUAGUGAACCCAGAUUCAUUUGGUAUUCGGGCCAAAAAGACUAAGGAACAGCUGGCAGAACUGAAAGUUAGCUACCUUAAAAACCAGUUUCCCCACGACUCAGAGAUCAUCAGGCUUAUGAAAAUAACAGGCCUUACCAAAGGCGAGAUUAAAAAAUGGUUUAGUGAUACAAGGUACAACCAGAGAAAUUCAAAGAGUAACCAGUGCUUACAUCUCAAUAACGACUCCUCUGCCACUAUCAUCAUAGACUCCAGUGAUGAAACCCCAGAACCCCCAGCUGCAGCUGCGUCACAGCCGAAACAGUCCUGGAAUCCCUUUCCUGACUUUGCUCCCCAGAAGUUUAAAGAGAAAACUGCAGAGCAACUUCGUGUCCUUCAGGCAAGUUUUCUCAACAGUUCUGUACUUACAGAUGAAGAAUUAAAUAGGUUAAGAGCGCAAACCAAACUUACUAGAAGAGAAAUUGAUGCUUGGUUUACAGAGAAAAAUAAAACAAAAGCUUUAAAGGAUGAGAAAGUAGAAGUAGAUGAAAGUAAUGUAGGUAGUUCCAAAGAAGAACCUGGAGAAAAUUCUCCUGGAGACGAAGCCGUUGCACCUAAGUCAGCAGGGACAGGCAAGAUAUGUAAGAAGACACCAGAGCAACUGCACAUGCUUAAAAGUGCAUUUGUCCGAACACAGUGGCCGUCACCAGAAGAGUAUGACAAGCUGGCUGAAGAAAGUGGGCUUGCCAGAACAGACAUAGUUAGUUGGUUUGGAGAUACCCGUUAUGCUUGGAAGAAUGGGAACUUGAAAUGGUACUACUACUAUCAAAGCUCCAAUUCAAGUAGUUUGAAUGGUCUGUCCUCCCUUAGGAAAAGAGGGAGAGGCAGACCCAAAGGACGAGGCAGAGGCAGACCACGUGGGCGGCCCAGAGGAGGAAAAAGAAUGAACACCUGGGACAGGGUACCGUCGCUCAUAAAGUUUAAAACUGGAACAGCAAUACUUAAAGAUUAUUACCUGAAGCACAAAUUUCUUAAUGAGCAAGACCUUGAUGAACUUGUCAACAGAUCACACAUGGGUUACGAGCAGGUCAGAGAGUGGUUUGCAGAAAGACAAAGAAGAUCUGAGUUAGGUAUAGAAUUAUUUGAGGAAAAUGAGGAGGAAGAUGAGGUUAUUGAUGAUCAGGAAGAAGAUGAAGAAGAAACAGAUGAUAGUGACACUUGGGAACCCCCACGACAUGUGAAGCGGAAGCUUUCUAAAUCGGAUGACUGAAAUAAAGGCGUAUGUCUAAAAGCAAAUGUGGCACAUGAGGAACAUAUACAAGUUUACACAAACUGCACUGUGAGGUGUGUGUGCUACUUAAAAUUCUGAAGGAGAAUAAGUUCUUCAAUUCAAGAUGUCUGAAUUACUGUGAAUGGGCCCAACCAAUCCUUGAUGACACUGAGAAUGCUUUGGGGCAUACAUACUUUCAAAACAGAAUCCAAUAUCCAAAAGAAAUGGAGCUCCAUGUUGUGCCAAAGUCAAACUGCUGCAGUCGGGGGCGGUUCUGCAAUGUAAAUAGAGCGCUAAUUAAAACAAACAGACUGUAAAAGUGAAAUUUUAUUCUGACAGGAUGCAAACCUUGUGAAUCUUUGACUUUCUAAGGGGUUAAUGACCACUAGAGCUUGUCCUCACCUCGACUCCAGCAUACAGCUCUGUAAGACAGGCUGUAUUACCUGUAUUCUUUGACAUGUGAUUAAGCUUACAGCUUUGAGUGACCAAACAUUUUACAGAGUAAAAGUUGUUAGAAAUGGGAGAGGAGAACCAAACCCUACUUUCUGUGUCUUAUUUUUCAGGCCCUCACCAAAUUAAAAGUUGUACAUGGGCUUACACAGUUUGCAGUGUAAAAGCAGCCUGUGCCUGUUAUGUUAGGACAGAAAGACCUGUGGCUUGCUGGCCUUUAUGACGAGACCCUCCACUGAACACUCAUAUAAACCAGUUUCUACUUGUGCACUUGUGGGGCUUCUCUUUGUCAGAAUCCGAUUUGCUUUUUACUAAGCUGAAGAUACUACCCCAGCAGGAGAAGGAACUCAGUAGGGAACACUCUAAACAUGUUCCAAACAUGUGAGAGUCCAUAGUGAAAUACAUGUGGUGUGUUCUCACCGGCGUGGGACUCAGGAAGGCCAGACAGUCUCAGGUUGGAUUUUGCAGGAAUUACCUUUUCAUGAAGUUGUACCUUAUGUAACAAUUUCAGUGAACAGAGGGGAAAAAAAAUUGGAACCUAGCAAGUUAAAAAUUUCCUUUUGAUGUAAGAAUCAGGGCGUGUUAGCGGUAACUGUGCUGCAGCAGAAGACAGAGUUCCUACUGACUUGUAACAGACUGGUGCUGACGUUCGUGCUGGGAAGGACCCUUUCUGUUGUGAUCAUAGGACCACUUUUCAAACUGUGCUUUCCUCACAGAACAAAAUUUUUAGUUUUAUUAGAUUUGGAUUUAAAAUUUUUUUGAAUGAUCACACAUAGUGGGUUUGGCCAGUUCAUCUUUUUCUAACUUAAUGAAUAAUAAAUACUAAGCUCUUGGUUUAAUGUUUGUCAGCUAAUGAGAGAUGUUAUGAAAAAGCCUUGAAUAUGCAUGCUGCUUUCAUUUUUAUAAACUUUUUAUUUUUUAACUAUAGCUUUAUUAGCAAUUCCCAAAUGCUGCAAUUUGCUGAUUUCUUCACUCAGACAGCUGGCUUUGUGGGCGGCUUUUUCAUACUACUGUUAACUUUUUGAAAACGAAGUGAUGUAAAGACUGUAACAAUUGAAUGCACUAAGCUGUUUUUCUUUUACACAUUUAAAAACUUCUUAAAGUACUCUGUAUUAUAAUGAUUAAAUUGCUCCCUUUUUAAAACCA